AAGAACUCCAGUCCGGCGAGCACGGUUCAACUUUCUUCUCCCGUCCGGCGCGCUGCAACUCAAAGAGAAGGAGAACACGGUACUUCCGGCAACAGCGGCAAGAAAUCCCAUCUUCUCCGACGCGAUGCAACUCGAACCUGAUGAGGCCGAAUUGGACGACCGGGAACCACUUGACGGUGACGAGGAAGACGAGGAAGAUGAAGAAG
rnacentral:misc_RNA from 1 species